rnacentral:rRNA from 1 species
UACGUAGGGUGCGAGCGUUGUCCGGAAUUAUUGGGCGUAAAGAGCUCGUAGGCGGUCUGUCGCGUCGAUCGUGAAAACUUGGGGCUUAACCCUGAGCUUGCGGUCGAUACGGGCAUGACUGGAGUUCGGCAGGGGAGACUGGAAUUCCUGGUGUAGCGGUGAAAUGCGCAGAUAUCAGGAGGAACACCGGUGGCGAAGGCGGGUCUCUGGGCCGAUACUGACGUGAGGAGCGAAAGCGUGGGGAGCGAACAGGG